UGGGGAAUAUUGCACAAUGGGCGCAAGCCUGAUGCAGCAACGCCGCGUGAAGGAAGACGGUUUUCGGAUUGUAAACUUCUGUUCUUAGUGAAGAAUAAUGACGGUAGCUAAGGAGCAAGCCACGGCUAACUACGUGCCAGCAGCCGCGGUAAUACGUAGGGAGCGAGCGUUGUCCGGAAUUACUGAGUGUAAAGGGAGCGCAGGCGGGUGAUCAAGUCAGCUGUGAAAACUACGGGCUUAACCCGUAGACUGCAGUUGAAACUGUUCAUCUUGAGUGAAGUAGAGGUUGGCGGAAUUCCGAGUGUAGCGGUGAAAUGCGUAGAUAUUCGGAGGAACACCGGUGGCGAAGGCGGCCAACUGGGCUUUAACUGACGCUGAGGCUCGAAAGUGUGGGGAGCAAACAGGAUUAGAUACCCUGGUAGUCCACACUGUAAACGAUGAUUGCUAGGUGUGGGGGGUCUGACCCCUUCCGUGCCGGAGCUAACGCAAUAAGCAAUCCACCUGGGGAGUACGACCGCAAGGUUGAAACUCAAAGGAAUUGACGGGGACCCGCACAAGCAGUGGAUUAUGUGGUUUAAUUCGAAGCAACGCGAAGAACCUUACCAGCACUUGACAUCCAACUAACGAAAUAGAGAUAUAUUAGGUGCCCUUCGGGGAAAGUUGAGACAGGUGGUGCAUGGUUGUCGUCAGCUCGUGUCGUGAGAUGUUGGGUUAAGUCCCGCAACGAGCGCAACCCUCGCCAUUAGUUGCUACGCAAGAGCACUCUAAUGGGACCGCUACCGACAAGGUGGAGGAAGGUGGGGACGACGUCAAAUCAUCAUGCCCCUUAUGUGCUGGGCUACACACGUAAUACAAUGGCCAUCAACAGAGAGAAGCAAUACCGCGAGGUGGAGCAAAACUUCAAAAAUGGUCUCAGUUCGGACUGCAGGCUGCAACCCGCCUGCACGAAGUUGGAAUUGCUAGUAAUCGUGGAUCAGCAUGCCACGGUGAAUACGUUCCC
rnacentral:rRNA from 1 species